rnacentral:rRNA from 1 species
AAUAGAUACCCCGGUAGUCCACGCCGUAAACGAUGAGUGCUAAGUGUUAGAGGGUUUCCGCCCUUUAGUGCUGCAGCUAACGCAUUAAGCACUCCGCCUGGGGAGUACGGCCGCAAGGCUGAAACUCAAAGGAAUUGACGGGGGCCCGCACAAGCGGUGGAGCAUGUGGUUUAAUUCGAAGCAACGCGAAGAACCUUACCAGGUCUUGACAUCCUUUGCCAACCCUAGAGAUAGGGCGUUCCCCUUCGGGGGACAGAGUGACAGGUGGUGCAUGGUUGUCGUCAGCUCGUGUCGUGAGAUGUUGGGUUAAGUCCCGCAACGAGCGCAACCCUUGAUCUUAGUUGCCAGCAUUCAGUUGGGCACUCUAAGGUGACUGCCGGUGACAAACCGGAGGAAGGUGGGGAUGACGUCAAAUCAUCAUGCCCCUUAUGACCUGGGCUACACACGUGCUACAAUGGAUGGUACAAAGAGCUGCGAACCCGCGAGGGUAAGCGAAUCUCAUAAAGCCAUUCUCAGUUCGGAUUGUAGG